AAACCAUGAUAUGGGCAUCUCCUUAAAAGUUCUCCAAAGCGCUCUCAUGUCUCAAACAAAGAUUCAGACUCAUAUUGUUGAAAAUUGGAGAUCUUUGUCAUCAGCUU